rnacentral:lncRNA from 1 species
UAACUCUCCAAUAAAAUAAAUUAAUUUUUUUAUUCCAAUUAUUUUACAUAGAAAUUAGUACUGUAAUAAAUUAUAACUCUUAGGGUUAGGACGAGG